UACGAACCGUCCAAACGUUAUUCGGAAUCACUGGGCUUAAAGGGUACGUAGGCGGCGCUGUCAGUCGGGUGUGAAAUCCCAGGGCUCAACCCUGGAACUGCGCCCGAUACUGCAGUGCUUGAGGGAGACAGAGGUAAGCGGAACUGAUGGUGGAGCGGUGAAAUGCGUUGAUAUCAUCAGGAACACCGGUGGCGAAAGCGGCUUACUGGGUCUCUUCUGACGCUGAGGUACGAAAGCUAGGGUAGCGAAGGGG
rnacentral:rRNA from 1 species